rnacentral:rRNA from 1 species
CAGCCGCCGCGGUAAUACGUAGGUGGCAAGCGUUGUCCGGAAUUAUUGGGCGUAAAGGGCUCGCAGGCGGUUUCUUAAGUCUGAUGUGAAAGCCCCCGGCUCAACCGGGGAGGGUCAUUGGAAACUGGGAAACUUGAGUGCAGAAGAGGAGAGUGGAAUUCCACGUGUAGCGGUGAAAUGCGUAGAGAUGUGGAGGAACACCAGUGGCGAAGGCGACUCUCUUGUCUGUAACUGACGCUGAGGAGCGAAAGCGUGGGGAGCGAACAGGAUUAGAUACCCCCGUAGUCCCUGUCUCUUAUAC